AGUACAGGAGAACUCGAUUCCAGAGCGUGGGUCCGGCAGAUUGAGCUCAAGGGCAGGGUUCCAGCCUCCUUCAUCACUAGAUUCUCAUGUCGGGGCCUAGAACAGUGUUUGCACACGGCAGCUUCUCAUGCACGUGGGCAGAAUCGGAUGGAGAAGAGCUGAAGAGGUUGACCAGCUAAGCUAACAACUCCAGGGGAUGCUUUUGCCAACCAUGUAAAAUCUAACUUAGUUAGUAUUUCUUCAAAAAAAGUAGAACAGAAUGCACAUUGCAAGUUGAAAAACCUGUGUUUGAAAGAAGGUCUCCAGCCGAUAAACCAGAGACAAAUGGACAAUUAACAGACUGUCGAACUGCAAUUACCGGGUGGCCUAACACCAGCUAUGACUGUUUUGAAAUAAUGUGAAGCAAAAAGAAUGCAAGACCUCACCACAUUGAUCCUUAUCACAUACCCCCAACUGCGAGCCCCACCUAUGAAAUCUUCCCCGACCCCCAAGAAGGCGGGGGGUGGGGGUGGGGUGGGACACAGUUCUUGAGGCGCUAGCCUGCUGUGUCUUCCCUUCUGCCUGGCAGAAAAAUAAAGGCAACUCUCUCUUCCUCCAAAAUCUGUCUUUGUAUUUCUAUUUGGCCUCAGCGCAGAGUAGCCGUUGUUACGGUAACAUCCUGAGCGGAUCAAAGUGCACCCAUUUUUUUUGGAUUAAAAUAUGAAGUUCAGUGGGAAUUAUGCAGUUGUUGAAAUCUAGAUGACACGCCCACUAUUUAGCCUUCCCAGCUCCUCCUCCCUCCAUCUGCUUUACUUGUCUGAAAACUUUUUAAACUAAAAAGAGAAAGUGAAAGAAAUCAAAUCAUUAUUAUACUUUACUUUUAAAAAGUCCAUUUCUUACUGAUGAACUCAGUGACAAGAACAAGGACACAGGUGCAGAGAAUGGACUGGAGAACUCGAGGUUUGGGAGGGGGCGGGGGGUGAAGGGGAAGCUGAGACGAAGCGAGAGAGUAGCACAGACAUAUAUAUACUACCAACUGUAAAAUAGAUAGUCAGUGGGAAGUUGUUGUAUAACAAAGGGAGUUCAGCUUGAGGAUGGAAGAUGCCUUAGAGGACU